rnacentral:rRNA from 1 species
AGUGAACGCUGGCGGUAGGCCUAACACAUGCAAGUCGAACGGCAGCACAGUAAGAGCUUGCUCUUACGGGUGGCGAGUGGCGGACGGGUGAGGAAUACAUCGGAAUCUACUUUUUCGUGGGGGAUAACGUAGGGAAACUUACGCUAAUACCGCAUACGACCUACGGGUGAAAGCAGGGGAUCUUCGGACCUUGCGCGAUUGAAUGAGCCGAUGUCGGAUUAGCUAGUUGGCGGGGUAAAGGCCCACCAAGGCGACGAUCCGUAGCUGGUCUGAGAGGAUGAUCAGCCACACUGGAACUGAGACACGGUCCAGACUCCUACGGGAGGCGGCAGUGGGGAAUAUUGGACAAUGGGCGCAAGCCUGAUCCAGCCAUACCGCGUGGGUGAAGAAGGCCUUCGGGUUGUAAAGCCCUUUUGUUGGGAAGGAAAAGCAGCAGGUUAAUACCCCGCUGUUCUGACGGUACCCAAAGAAUAAGCACCGGCUAACUUCGUG